GUCACUGCAUCAGCUCCACAGCCAUAAGAACUUUUCCAAGUGACACAAGAGUUUGGUCAUUCUGAAUUCUGAAGUUGGAUGACUGUGGGGAGGGAGCAAAUGGUAGCCAAUAUCAGAUCAGAGCUGGCUGCAGCAGAUUCCAGAGAUGCCUGGGAAGAAUCCAAUGGACAUCUGAAGAGCUUUGAAUGAGGGCAAGGAUGAAAGAUCCCCCCUGGCCUUUGGCCACACACCCUGUUUACUUUCCAAAGACAAUGGGGGACUUGAAGUGUGCUACAAUAACACCUGAAUGGGAUUAGUCAGCAUCCAAAGAAGUCAACUGGAUUAAGCCAUCUUUAAGACUCUGGGAGAGGAAGGGGUUUGGGGGUGGGUAUUUGUCUUGCCCUCUGAUCUUAUAUGUUCAUGAGUCUUACAGAUUCCUCAGGAACAGGAAGAGUUGGUAAAUGAGAGAAUUCUCCAUGAUGUGUAUGGAACAUACAGAACUGUGGGUUUGUUGUUGGUUAUUUGCUUAUUUUUUUUUUUAGCCAGCAUGUGGUCUCUAGAGAUAACGGACAGAAUUAAAUUAUGUAUGAACCCACAAGUUUAGCAUUCCAGGCCUUUUUCUAAAAAAGAGACCAUCCAGCCGGCCUACUGCAGGGAAUGCACUAGGUGAUUCAGCCCGCAGCAUCUGAUUGGCUGGCUUCUCCCCUGCUUCAAAGGUCUGUCUUACUCUCCCCUUAGCUCUGGGUCCAGGGUUUGCAACUCCUCUAUUUUUGUGCUGCCAAUAGGGUACUCAGUGCUCUGAGCUCUUUUCUCCUUUUCUGCUCUAGGCUGGAGCUCUCUACCAAUUGAGCCACACCUCCAGUUCCAACCUUUUGUUGGUUAAUCAGAAAUGAAUCAGGCUUUUGUCCCUAGACUAGCUUUGAACCACAAUCCUUAGAAAUCUGCCUCUUGGUUAGCUAGAAUUAGAAUCACCACACCCAGGCUGCACCCCUCUUUCUGGAAAUCCUGGCUGGAGGGAAAGGAAUAUUGUAAACAUUCCCAUGUUGUAGAAAUGGAAACAUCUCAAUCCUUUGCCAGUGACUGGUGGCAGUAAAUGAUCCAAGCCAUCCCUUGACUGAAAUGAACCUGUGUGUACAUACGUGUGCAUGUGUUACAUACGUGAAAAGUCACACACACACACACACACAUACACAUACAUACUGAAUCUCUGGGACAGAUUACCCAUUUCUUAAGCUACAAAGUGCCACACAGUUGGGCAUCUAGUUGGAAGAAUUACUUCUAGUCUGAUGUCUUGAUAUAGGGCAAGCAGCCAAAUACCUUCUCAGUUAAUCUCCUUUAAGCCAGCUGUGCACUGGUCCCUUGCCCAAUUCUUCUGUUCCCCCCUUCCCCCCACCCCACCCUGGCCCCCAAUUUUCAUGCUGACUUGAAACUCUUCAGUAGUUUCUCCUCCUCUAAACUGAGUGGCAAAAAGGUCCUUUAACGAUUGAUCCACACCAGUGUCUUUGAAAAACUCUUUUUUUUUUUAGGUCCAAGACUGGAACUCAACCUCUACCUGACACUUUCACUCAUUGGCUAGUGCUCUACCACCUAAGCCAUACCUCCAACUUCUAUACCCACUGUUCUAACAGUAGGAUAGACAAAAAUCCUAAGAUCAAGUGGAGUGUGAUAAUGGAUAGAAGCUUGGGCCCUGUGGGACUGAGCAAAGGUAAGAGGACAGGAACAGGAAGGAGAGGAAGUUCCUGGGGGGUGGGGGUGAGAACCAAGCAAAUUUGUGUUUGAAGCACUGGGAUUGUACUGACUGUCUAGGCAAGGAUAAAACGGCUGAAUGAGAGCAGCCAAGGCCAAACACAAUGUUUGUGUAAAAGAAGGUGUGACCAGUGCCUAGGGGAGGGACCUGCCCAGAUGACCCUUCAUCAUCUUCACGAGGCAGGAGAAAGUGGGGAGCCUGGGACCUCAGGCAAUGGGAAAACCCUCUCUCUCCCUCUCCCCCUUCUCUCCUCUCUCCUCUUCCUCUUCUUUCUUCUCUCUUUCCUUUUGGUGGCACUAGGGUUUGAACUCAGGGCUUUGCACUUGCUAGGCAGGUGCUAUACCACUUGAGCCAAGCCCCUAGCUGAAGAAAGUCCUCUUUUGCCUGCUUGUAUUUUCCCAGGGAAGACAGAAGAGAAGGUACAAAACCAGCCCAUCUUUAAAAGGGGGGUACCUUUGAGGAGGGGAAGGCAGUGAGGUUCCCAAGGAGCCACAGAUCAUUUUAAUUUGUGUGCGAGGAUUCCUUCAGACAGAAGUCUGGUGAAUUUUACUCUGAUAAAAUCAAGUGGGAAUUGCUAGUUCAGGGAUUUGAAUUCAGGGCCUCACACUUGCUCAGAUGGGUGUCUGUCACUGGAGCAAUGACUCCAGUGUCUGAUCAUUCUGAAGAUAUAGUCCAGAUGACUUUCCUGCCAGGCUGGCUUUGAACUGUGAUCCUCCUGGUCUCAGUCUUGAGUAGCAAGUGUGAGACCCCUGUACCUGGCCAAGGUGAAGCCUUGAAUGCUGAAUUCUCUGGCGGGGCCAAUCUUUUCUUCAUGUGAAUACACAUCUGAAAGAAAAUAUAGCAAAUACAGCAGUGGCUAUGUCUUUUCCUUUCCUUUAAUCUUUAUUCUUAUUUUUAGUGGUGGUGAUGGUAUGGGCUUUGAGCUGAGGGUCUGGUAGCUUGUUUGCUUAGCACCAGGCCCAU